UACGUAGGGCGCAAGCGUUAUCCGGAAUUAUUGGGCGUAAAGAGCUCGUAGGCGGUCUGUCGCGUCGGGAGUGAAAACUCAGGGCUUAACCCUGAGCCUGCUUCCGAUACGGGCAGACUAGAGGUAUGCAGGGGAGAACGGAAUUCCUGGUGUAGCGGUGGAAUGCGCAGAUAUCAGGAGGAACACCGGUGGCGAAGGCGGUUCUCUGGGCAUUACCUGACGCUGAGGAGCGAAAGUGUGGGGAGCGAACAGG
rnacentral:rRNA from 1 species